UCUCAGGGUGGCGAACUUUUCCUCUGAAUUCCUAACCUGUGAGCUUAUGAUGAUGGUGCCUGCGAAUUAACUGAACGACUGUGGUUUUGAACUUCUUGAGGCCAGGGACUGUGUUUGAAAGCACCUACAGUGGCUAACAUAAG